UAGGGGACAAGAUGUUCUCUCAGCUUCAAAAGGUACUGAAUACUUGGAGUCUAUUUAUCAAACAAUUAACGUAACGACUUCUAAAGCCAUGGAGGGUAUUAGAGCUUCAGAUCUUGAGGCAGCAAUGGAGGACAUUAAAAACAAGGCGGAUGAAUACUUGAAUGAAAAAAAGUGCCCAAGUUGAUAGUCAAGAAAUUGUGGAUUUAGUAGAUGAGGUCACAUCACAGUACAAUCAGGGAAUCAUUGUAUCCACUUUCCUGGAAGAUUCCCUGGUACAAGAAGGUCGAAAGGUUACCGCUGGGUUGUAUACUCUGAUCGAACUGUCCAGAAGAAUAAAAGAAGAAGACAAUGGUAA
rnacentral:sRNA from 1 species